rnacentral:antisense_RNA from 1 species
AAUUAUGCGAUUACUCACUGGUGGCUCUGGGAAGGCAGGUGAGGCUUCCUGGAGGGAGGAACCUGAAUGUCCAAAAAGGUCCACACGGAGGCUGGGGCUGCUGGGACCCCCACAGUAAGGUCCAGAAAGCCCCCCGAGAGGCAGGGGUUGCCUGAGGUGUGCAGAAUGAGCUCCCCAUUGGAGGCAUAUGUGAACAAGGGGAUGGCUGGAAUUUGGCAAAGCAUUUAUGGACUGGGGAGCUCGCGGUGCGAGACCAGUAUUCUCAAAGCGUGCUCUACGGAAUGCUACCGCAGGAUCACCUGGGAAGUUCAUCAGAAACGCAGGUCCCUGGAUCCCAGCACGGACCCACUGAAUCAGACUCAGAGGACACAGGGCCUGGAAUCUGGGUUUGUCACAAGCUCCCUCAAAUCUGACUCUCAUGCACAAUGACGUCUUCAAGCCACCGGACCAGAGAACCCCUGAGGUCCAUUCUCCAGAGAGAACCUGGAUUCUCCCCAUUGUGGAGAUGGCAUCAAGAGAGCAGGGUCCCGGCUGGGCGCAGUGGCUCACGCCUGUAAACCCAGCACUCUGGGAGGCUAAGGGGGGCGGAUCACGAGGUAAAGAGAUCAAUAGCAUCCUGGCCAAUAUGGUGAACCCCGUCUCUACUAAAAAUACAAAAAUUAACUGAGCAUGGUGGCAAACGCCUGUAGUCCCAGC